UUAAGUGACUAAGCGUACACGGUGGAUGCCUAGGCAGUCAGAGGCGAUGAAGGACGUGCUAAUCUGCGAUAAGCGUCGGUGAGCUGAUAUGAAGCAUUAUUAGCCGGCGAUGUCCGAAUGGGGAAACCCAGUGCAAUCCGUUGCACUAUCGUUAAGUGAAUACAUAGCUUAACGAGGCGAACCAGGGGAACUGAAACAUCUAAGUACCCUGAGGAAAAGAAAUCAACCGAGAUUCCCCUAGUAGCGGCGAGCGAACGGGGAAGAGCCCAGAACCUGAAUCAGUUUGUGCAUUAGUGGAAGCGUCUGGAAAGUCGCGCGAUACCGGGUGAUAGCCCCGUACACGAAGGUGCACAGCUGUGAGUUCGAUGAGUAGGGCGGGACACGUGUUAUCCUGUCUGAAUAUGGGGGGACCAUCCUCCAAGGCUAAAUACUCCUGACUGACCGAUAGUGAACCAGUACCGUGAGGGAAAGGCGAAAAGAACCCCGGCGAGGGGAGUGAAAUAGAACCUGAAACCGUGUACGUACAAGCAGUGGGAGCAUCCUUCGGGGUGUGACUGCGUACCUUUUGUAUAAUGGGUCAGCGACUUAUAUUUUGUAGCAAGGUUAACCGAAUAGGGGAGCCGUAGGGAAACCGGAGUCUUAACUGGGCGUCUAGUUGCAAGGUAUAGACCCGAAACCCGGUGAUCUAGCCAUGGGCAGGUUGAAGGUUGGGUAACACUAACUGGAGGACCGAACCGACUAAUGUUGAAAAAUUAGCGGAUGACUUGUGGCUGGGGGUGAAAGGCCAAUCAAACCGGGAGAUAGCUGGUUCUCCCCGAAAGCUAUUUAGGUAGCGCCUCGUGAACUCAUCUUCGGGGGUAGAGCACUGUUUCGGCUAGGGGGUCAUCCCGACUUACCAACCCGAUGCAAACUACGAAUACCGAAGAAUGUUAUCACGGGAGACACACGGCGGGUGCUAACGUCCGUCGUGAAGAGGGAAACAACCCAGACCGCCAGCUAAGGUCCCAAAGUCAUGGUUAAGUGGGAAACGAUGUGGGAAGGCAUAGACAGCCAGGAUGUUGGCUUAGAAGCAGCCAUCAUUUAAAGAAAGCGUAAUAGCUCACUGGUCGAGUCGGCCUGCGCGGAAGAUGUAACGGGGCUAAACCAUGCACCGAAGCUGCGGCAGCGACACUAAGUGUUGUUGGGUAGGGGAGCGUUCUGUAAGCCUGUGAAGGUGGCCUGUGAGGGCUGCUGGAGGUAUCAGAAGUGCGAAUGCUGACAUAAGUAACGAUAAAGCGGGUGAAAAGCCCGCUCGCCGGAAGACCAAGGGUUCCUGUCCAACGUUAAUCGGGGCAGGGUAAGUCGACCCCUAAGGCGAGGCCGAAAGGCGUAGUCGAUGGGAAACAGGUUAAUAUUCCUGUACUUGGUGUUAUUGCGAAGGGGGGACGGAGAAGGCUAGACCGGCCGGGCGACGGUUGUCCCGGUUUAAGCGUGUAGGUGUGAUGACCUGGCAAAUCCGGUUAUCUUUAACACUGAGGCGUGAUGACGAGGCACUACGGUGCUGAAGUGGUUAAUGCCCUGCUUCCAGGAAAAGCCUCUAAGCUCUAGAUAACACUGAAUCGUACCCCAAACCGACACAGGUGGUCAGGUAGAGAAUACCAAGGCGCUUGAGAGAACUCGGGUGAAGGAACUAGGCAAAAUGGUGCCGUAACUUCGGGAGAAGGCACGCUGGCAUGUAGGUGAAGUCCCUCGCGGAUGGAGCCGAAGCCAGUCGAAGAUACCAGCUGGCUGCAACUGUUUAAUAAAAACACAGCACUCUGCAAACACGAAAGUGGACGUAUAGGGUGUGACGCCUGCCCGGUGCUGGAAGGUUAAUUGAUGGGGUCAGCCGCAAGGCGAAGCUCUUGAUCGAAGCCCCAGUAAACGGCGGCCGUAACUAUAACGGUCCUAAGGUAGCGAAAUUCCUUGUCGGGUAAGUUCCGACCUGCACGAAUGGCGUAAUGAUGGCCAGGCUGUCUCCACCCCGAGACUCAGUGAAAUUGAACUCGCUGUGAAGAUGCAGUGUACCCGCGGCAAGACGGAAAGACCCCGUGAACCUUUACUAUAGCUUGACACUGAACAUUGAACCUUGAUGUGUAGGAUAGGUGGGAGGCUUUGAAGUGUGGACGCCAGUCUGCAUGGAGCCGACCUUGAAAUACCACCCUUUAAUGUUUGAUGUUCUAACCUGGUCCCGUAAUCCGGGAUAGGGACAGUGUCUGGUGGGUAGUUUGACUGGGGCGGUCUCCUCCCAAAGAGUAACGGAGGAGCACGAAGGUUAGCUAAUCCUGGUCGGACAUCAGGAGGUUAGUGCAAAGGCAUAAGCUAGCUUGACUGCGAGAGUGACGGCUCGAGCAGGUGCGAAAGCAGGUCUUAGUGAUCCGGUGGUUCUGAAUGGAAGGGCCAUCGCUCAACGGAUAAAAGGUACUCCGGGGAUAACAGGCUGAUACCGCCCAAAGAGUUCAUAUCGACGGCGGUGUUUGGCACCUCGAUGUCGGCUCAUCACAUCCUGGGGCUGAAGUAGGUCCCAAGGGUAUGGCUGUUCGCCAUUUAAAGUGGUACGCGAGCUGGGUUUAGAACGUCGUGAGACAGUUCGGUCCCUAUCUGCCGUGGGCGUUGGAAGAUUGAGAGGGGCUGCUCCUAGUACGAGAGGACCGGAGUGGACGCACCGCUGGUGUUCGGGUUGUGAUGCCAAUUGCAUUGCCCGGUAGCUACGUGCGGAAGAGAUAAGCGCUGAAAGCAUCUAAGCGCGAAACUUGCCUCGAGAUGAGUCUUCCCUUGGACCUUGAGUCCACUAAAGGAACGUUUAAGACUAAGACGUUGAUAGGCUGGGUGUGUAAGCGUAGCGAUACGUUGAGCUAACCAGUACUAAUGAUCCGUGAGGCUUAACCUU
rnacentral:rRNA from 1 species